AUGGUCCUCCCGUAAGGGACAUCAGUACAGGUGGUGCAUGGCUGUCGUCAGCUCGUGUCGUGAGAUGUUGGGUUAAGUCCCGCAACGAGCGCAACCCUUAUUCUUAGUUGUUUCCCUUUGGGAUUACCCUCUAAGAAGACUGCCUCGGAUAACGGGGAGGAAGGUGGGGAUGACGUCAAGUCCGCAUGCUCCUUACGUCUAGGGCUACACACGUCCUACAAUGGGGUCGACAAUGGGAUGCAAUAUCGCAAGAUGGAGCCAAUCCCCAAACGGCCUCUCAGUUCGGAUUGUAGUCUGCAACUCGACUACAUGAAGUUGGAAUCGCUAGUAAUGGCAGAUCAGCAUGCUGCCGUGAAUACGUUCCCGGGUCUU
rnacentral:rRNA from 1 species